CAAUCNCUAUACCAGUGNAGUUAUGAGGACCUAUGCGUUUCCUCGGCGGGCUCACCCGCCGAUUGGACAAUUUAAACCAUUUGCAGUUGCAAUCAGCGUCUGAAAAAACAUAAUAGUUACAACUUUCAACAACGGAUCUCUUGGUUCUGGCAUCGAUGAAGAACGCAGCGAAAUGCGAUAAGUAGUGUGAAUUGCAGAAUUCAGUGAAUCAUCGAAUCUUUGAACGCACAUUGCGCCCCUUGGUAUUCCAUGGGGCAUGCCUGUUCGAGCGUCAUUUGUACCUUCAAGCUCUGCUUGGUGUUGGGUGUUUGUCUCGCCUCUGCGUGUAGACUCGCCUCAAAACAAUUGGCAGCCGGCGUAUUGAUUUCGGAGCGCAGUACAUCUCGCGCUUUGCACUCAGAACGACGACGUCCAAAAGUACAUUUUUACACUCUUGACCUCGGAUCAGGUAGGGAUACCCGCUGAACUUAAGCAUAUCAAUAAGCGGAGGAG
rnacentral:rRNA from 1 species